rnacentral:ncRNA from 1 species
ACAGCUAGGGGAGCAUAUUGCUGAGAUAGAACAUUAAUAUAUUAAUUAUUUGUUCUGACCCUCACUACUUGAUCCGGAUUAUACCGGCGUAAGGAAGCGACUAUAUAU